rnacentral:rRNA from 1 species
UACGUAGGGGGCAAGCGUUGUCCGGAAUCAUUGGGCGUAAAGAGCGUGUAGGCGGCCACACAGGUCUGCUGUGAAAACUCGAGGCUCAACCUCGAGCUGUCGGUGGAAACCGUGUGGCUAGAGUCCGGAAGAGGAGAGUGGAAUUCCCGGUGUAGCGGUGAAAUGCGCAGAUAUCGGGAAGAACACCAGUGGCGAAGGCGGCUCUCUGGGACGGUACUGACGCUGAGACGCGAAAGCGUGGGGAGCGAACAGG